rnacentral:rRNA from 1 species
GACGUAGGGCGCGAGCGUUGUCCGGAUUUAUUGGGCGUAAAGAGCUCGUAGGCGGCUUGUUGCGUCGGCCGUGAAAACCUGCAGCUUAACUGUGGGCGUGCGGUCGAUACGGGCAUCACUGGAGUUCGGCAGGGGAGACUGGAAUCCUGGUGUAGCGGUGAAAUGCGCAGAUAUCGGGAGGAACACCAGUAGCGAAGGCGGCACUCUGGGCCGGUACUGACGCUGAGGAGCGAAAGCGUGGGAGCGAACAGG